rnacentral:lncRNA from 1 species
UGAAUUUUGGGGUAUGACAAGAUAGACUCAGAGAUACAAUCAAAUGCCUUUAUCCCUAACGUUUGCAUGGAAUUUUUAUUUUUUUGUCCACAAUGAUACCCCUUUUUGCCUAAGUCUCCCUUUCGAGUUUUCAACUUAGCGGGCUUGUAUAUUUUUUGUUUUAUCCCAAACUUUUGUAUGGACAUUUCUUUUUUUGGCUCCAUCGGGAUAUCAAUUUUUGCCUAGAUUAGUUCUUGCAUAUGCCAAUCUAGCAGGCUUUGUA